CCUUGUUUAGUUUAUUUAUCUAAAAUGUAAAAUUUAUUAUUUAAUUUAUAAGAAUAAUAUUAACUAAAAACAAUUUUUUAAAAUCAAUAUUAUUUAUUGUGAUUUAAGAACAAGAUUAAAUAAAGCUGUAAUAGGGCCCAAUUGACCCAGGUCCAAACAAAAUUAAAAAACAGUCCAACAAAUACAGGUCCAAAACUAACCUAAACCCCAAAUCAUUAAACCAAACCCCAAAACAACCCUGGCCCAAAGAAAAAGAAAGAACCCUAGCCCUAAGGAGCGCCGCAGCAAGCCUUCAGGUGCGCCCAGCAGCCUCGCGUCGCACCUAACGCCCAGUCGCCGCACAACUCGGAGGUCGACCCCUCUCCACACACGUCACCUGUGAAAACACGGACUUAGAGAGUCCCAGAGAGAAGAAGCAGCAAAAAACAGCAUUUAGAUUAUUUUAUUUUCUUUAUUUUCGGCCUAUAAAAUGCCUAUCAAAUCUGUAAAAGAGGGGGGGGGGGAUAUACAGAGAGAUGGAUAAAAAAUUGAAAGAAAAGCAGAGAAUACACAGUUUUAAGGUGAAUCGGUUUUUUUUUUAUAUUUAUGUUUUCUUCUUCUUCUUUUUUUUUGCGUUUUAAAAAAAAAACAAAUAAUAACAAAGAAAAGGGGAAAAAUUUUACCCCAUUCACCAAGGACGCCGGACCGGUGGCCGUUUCCGUCGUGAUCGGAGCGCCGUUGUGGGCCGAAGGCGGUGCGAGGACGGUAGGGUCCCAAGCCCUAGCAGAGCAUUAGAGAAACGUUUUUUUAUUUUUAUUUUUUUAUUUUUUUUUCUUUCAUUCGGCUUC
rnacentral:lncRNA from 1 species